CGGGAAUGCUACCCGCCAUGCGCGCGCAUACAAGAUUAGUCACCGGCUGGGUCAAAAAUUCUGCCUGCUGCUGACACGUAGGCGUCGGGUGAAACAGACGAUCUUCUGAACGUUCGCUGCAGGGUUUGUUUUGACCGCAGUGUGCUACGCAUGUGAUGUGCUCCAACCGGAAAACAUAACACACAUACACACAUGCAUCUUGACUCGUCUGUUUCUUGCGAGCAAUGAAACUUUAGCAUGGUGUGUCGAGUUAGAAGACCGCGUGCAGGCUAAAUUUAGAAUAUCUUUCAUCCCGACACUCCACGGCACGACAAAAAAAAACGCCCCUCGCAGACAAACAAUUCCGCUCUGGGAAGCGAUUAAGCCGAAAAACAAACUCAAGUAGGCCUUUAAAUCGUUAUGCCAUUAUGUAACAUCAUAGCAACCGCGGUCGUGAAGGUACGAAAUGAUCCCAAUGUCAUUCAGGAAAUGGCGAUCGCUCCCGACGACGGUAUGUGUGUAAAUACACGGUACACAACAAUUCAAACUAUUUACGAAUCCAAUCGAACGGUCGACUCUAAUCGAAGCGAAAUAUCGCACCGGGCGCAACAAUGUAGCCACCACCCCACAAGAUGAUGGUGCGUGUACGACAUCCACAGGGAGGUGUUCGUUUAUUUAUUAGCGAAAUUUGCAUAACCCAUUGAUUCCGAGCAGGUAAGAUGCGACAGCAGGAAACAUGUACGGGCCCGGUGGCAGUCAGUUCUAAUGUGUAUGCUAAUUUAAUCGUAAAACGCGAAAGUAGCCCCAGGUAAACAACAACAUAUAUUGCACCCGUGAAAACGAGAAAAUAUCGGCCGAGUAAAAUAUUGCUGUGUAUAGGGAGCGCUUCACUUCAGUCUAUUUACGAAGCAAAGUCAGAAUUGGUUUGAAAUGCAGGGAUUUAGUUUGUUUUUUUUCCCCCUGUUUGGCUAUUUAUAAUUGCUUCUCAUUUCAUACACGCGCGACAGGUGCGUAAAAUGUCACCCAUUGGACGCCACCAGCCGGUGUGAGCUGUGGGCGUAAAUGCCAAAAAUCAUGAGCGCAGGGGGACAGUGGGUUAAUGUGACAAGCACAGGGCAGAAAAAAGGAAAUCGUGAUUGUUCAUACCAUUCCAUCCGGUGGCUACACUCAAGAUGUGAAAAUUGACACAAAAACAAACCCUGAAUCAAGCCGCGUGCGUGUUGAUCAAAGUUGGCAUGCUCUAAUCGGACUAGUUAACAACGAUUAGAUCGGUUUUCACCUGUGCUACAUAGGCCACGCGACUUUACAUUAACGCUGCGCGCGAUUCCACCUCCAAUCUUCAGUAGGUUAGUAACAGCAAAUUUAUUAGAUAGCGGCAUCGUGACCAAUAGAACAAACGAGAUCUCCACCACGGAGCAGCAGCGCGCGCGUACGCUUGUUUUACGUAACAUCCUCACGCUGGCGCGAUCCCGGCGGCACUGAACCUCGUGACUUAGUGACACAAUCAUCGUAGAAGAAGCAAAUAAACAGUCAAGAACCUAUACAGUGCGCUGUGUUUGCCAGUGCGAACAAAUCGCAAGCAUUAGCAAAAUGCACCACACACACACACACACCCAUCGAACCCCCAUUACAUAUGGGUGGUGGUUGAAUGGAGAGUGCUGUGCCACCACAACGGCGAUUACCAUAAACCCACCAGCGGCAGGAAUUGUGCAGCAAUAUUUUUAGCCUGUGGAUCGAUUUCUCUGUUCGCGGUGACGCAAAGCGGUCACUGCGGAGACACACCCCCAAGGGGCGGGAUAGCAUCGGUAUUUUUUUGUUAUCUGUGCGAUACACAAGCGGGACUGAAUUAAGUUCACUACAAAAAUCGAACAACCCCUGCGUUAACGUGGAUUUAUGAGAUAAGUGCCACUUAACCCGAAAACACAACGCAAAAGAGUAACGUGGAUCGUACCACCUUAACCGUACUCAAGACUCAUGGGCAACAAGCACAUGUUUACUUUCCCUGCCAGCGUCGUGACCGCCUUAUGCGGGAUCGCCUUCGCUGCUGCUGCUUUUUGCAACAGUGUUUCCUGGCCUGGCUACCGUUAUCAGCUGAGCCUGUCAGCACUGUAAAAAUUAGUUACGACAUUAGAAUCGGAUCGCGCACUGCUUUGCGCCAAACCGGACGGACGUACCCACCUAGUGAGGUGGUAGUACUUGCGCUGUUUCCUUUUGUCGCUUUCGCGCUUCUUCUCCAAACGCUCGUUGCUUAUCAACUUGCGCGACAUACACCGAUGACCUUGAGGAGAGGAGAAUGCUGCUCUCCCCCUGCUGCCCGAUGGGCACACCGUAAAGGGCGCUAUACUGCUUGCGCCUGGCAAUGCGUACGUAUGCGAUUAGCGGCCCCAUAGAUGAUAAUCGUAUCGCACCGACACCCUUCAGCAACUAGAACAACACCCCCUUUCUCGGCUGGAAGUGAGAGAUGAUGGGAAUGUCUCCAUGCAUCCCAACCCCUUGCCCGGGGUGGUGUCUGCUAUGACAACAGCGAGCCGUUACCGUACAUCAUACCGAAGCGUUCUCGUUUUCAUCCCCUCCAGCUGAAGUGAAAGUGUGUGUAAUGGAAUGUGCUUCUCAAGUGGCUGGGAUGGCUCGAGUGCGCCGGCCAUCAACUCGUUACUCUGCACAACCCCCCCCGCCACCGAACGGCCCUAUGCAUUGCACAUGCAGCAAACACCAUGAUUGCACAUGCAGUUGAAGAACACAGGGCUGAACAGGAUCCGAACAGCGAACACGUGCUUGCUUGACAACAUCUUGUACAUGUGUUUUUUUAUUGUAUGUCUUGCGCGCUUUAUGCUUUAUCGUCUGUGUGCGGCAUGCUGUAGUGCGGCACUGCUUUAUUAGCCGUUCCUUCUCUCCUUCUGGAUUUUCAUGCCAUUCUGCAUUUUAAACAUACCAGCACAGCGAACAAAUCUGUUAUUUGUGCAAAAAGUGUUGUGCCUCGUUCUGUUCAUUCAUUCAGCACAUUCACAGAAUUGCAUUGUAAUGGUGAUUUUAGAACGAAACUUUGUUUUAACCCCGUGAAAUGUACUACAGACCCUCAUGGGUUAGGUCCACGCCAAUUAGAACCGAUAUUCUGGUGCUUGAUUGAUCGUCACGGGAUCGUCAUGGGUAAAAAGGCAAUGGCGUAUAACUGAUCUCGGCCAGCACCAUCAAUGCAUCUACUCGUUUGUGAGCGCUAACGGCGGGUGUCUCUUACUGGGGGCCACAUUUCUAAUCUAAUCUUUAUUGCUUAUGGGAGGUGUUGGCUGUUCAAUUGGUUUCAAUAACAGAAAAACGUUCAAUAGACACUUUCAACUCAUUCGAAGAAGAAGAAGUCUGUAAUUGUCUCUUUGUUAGUAUAUAAUGACAUUAACGUGUAUGUAAUUUUGAAGUGAAAAUGCUACAAUAAUGGGAAAAGCAACAGUUUCCAAUGUCUUCAAUCGUGCCAAUCGGGCCUUCUCGGCUUUCAAGCAAAUGGCCAGUGAUGAUGGACGCUUUAGCAUUAAGAUACGGUCCGCAACAUGGGUUGGGUGCUACAGAGCACACUUAUCUCUAUCUUACACAUCGUGCUUGACAACUGUACAGAUGAGGAAGGCCCUGAAUCGAUGAUUUUCCCAUUGAAUUUAUCAUUUGAUCAACGCGAGCUCGAUAUCAUCACGUGGUAACGAAAGAUUGGAAAACAAUUCCCAUGUUUUUUUUUCUGCACUUGCACCGGAACACAUGUAGCGAGAACCGCCUUUUUCGCCUUUUUUCCACAUACAUUUCUCAUACUGCUGGCACCAUGUGACGGAAUUAUCUCGUUCGCUUCGAGGUUCCAUGUCAUUGCAAACGAUAAAUGCGUUCUGAACGCGUUUCCUCUUUUCACCAUAGUAGGCGUGAACGCAUGAAUCAUCACAUGGCCACCAUUGCACCACUCUAUGAGCGAUACACGAUACACCAGCAGCAAGUGUAAUUAAAAAGCAGCAGCCAUUCACACUCGGCACGGAAGAAACGAAAGUGCACGGGGUAGCAUUACAACGCGUUCAAGAGUUCUUGCUUCCUGUUAGCACAUCGCGUCGUAACCAAUGUAACCCAACGCACUUAGAGCCACGACGUGGUGUGGUUCGGUCGGGCGCGGUUACAUAAUCGGAUCGCUGUCAGUGUGGUUUUCGAUUUUCGUUUUCGGUACCCCAAACUACUUACCGCCCUUGGUCGGGGUACGGUGGGUGCAGUGCUGGGCACGGUAGCCGGUAAUCAUCUCGUAGUCGCCGGAAUCGCGUCGCAGCGGAAAGGCAAUCUCGAUGAUGUGAUCGCACGGCUGCAUCAGCAUCAAAAUGCCCUUCACCUUCUUCUUCUUCUCGUCCAUCGAGGCGCGGCCCUUCAUGUCCUCCACCAGCUUGUCUUCGCAGAUCUGGCAGGCGCGGUGGAAGA